rnacentral:rRNA from 1 species
UACGUAGGUCCCGAGCGUUGUCCGGAUUUAUUGGGCGUAAAGCGAGCGCAGGCGGUUAGAUAAGUCUGAAGUUAAAGGCUGUGGCUUAACCAUAGUAUGCUUUGGAAACUGUUUAACUCGAGUGCAGAAGGGGAGAGUGGAAUUCCAUGUGUAGCGGUGAAAUGCGUAGAUAUAUGGAGGAACACCGGUGGCGAAAGCGGCUCUCUGGUCUNGUAACUGACGCUGAGGCUCGAAAGCGUGGGGAGCAAGCAGGAUUAGAUAC